GUCGAGGGGCAGCGGGGGCGUAGCAAUAUGCCUGCCGGCGACCGGCGCACGGGUGAGUAACACGUAUGUAACCUGCCCUAUGCAGGGGGAUAACCCGGAGAAAUCCGGCCUAAUACCGCGUAAUACCUUAGGGGAGCAUUCUCUUGAGGUUAAAGGAGAGAUCCGGCAUAGGAUGGACACGCGUCGCAUUAGGUAGACGGCGGGGUAACGGCCCACCGUGCCGACGAUGCGUAGGGGUUCUGAGAGGAAGGCCCCCCACACUGGUACUGAGACACGGACCAGACUCCUACGGGAGGCAGCAGUGAGGAAUAUUGGUCAAUGGCCGAGAGGCUGAACCAGCCAAGUCGCGUGAGGGAAGAAUGUCCUAAGGAUUGUAAACCUCUUUUGUCGGGGAGCAAAAAGGCUCUGCGGAGUCGUAUUGAGAGUACCCGAAGAAAAAGCAUCGGCUAACUCCGUGCCAGCAGCCGCGGUAAUACGGAGGAUGCGAGCGUUAUCUGGAUUUAUUGGGUUUAAAGGGUGCGCAGGCGGCGUGUCAAGCAAGCGGUAAAAUAGCGGGGCUCAACCCCGUCGAGCCGUUUGAACUGGCGCGCUUGAGUUCAGGCGAGGUAGGCGGAAUUCGUGGUGUAGCGGUGAAAUGCAUAGGUAUC
rnacentral:rRNA from 1 species